rnacentral:rRNA from 1 species
AGUCACGGGGGCCCGCAAGGGUAACCGGCGAACGGGUGCGUAACACGUGAGCAAUCUGCCGUCCACUGGGGGAUAGCCGGCCCAACGGCCGGGUAAUACCGCAUACGUUCCCUUACUGGCAUCGGUGAGGGAGGAAACCUCCGGGGGUGGACGAGGAGCUCGCGGCCUAUCAGCUAGUUGGUGGGGUAACGGCCUACCAAGGCAAUGACGGGUAGCUGGUCUGAGAGGAUGGCCAGCCACAUUGGGACUGAGAUACGGCCCAGACUCCUACGGGAGGCAGCAGUGGGGAAUAUUGCGCAAUGGCCGCAAGGCUGACGCAGCGACGCCGCGUGGGGGAUGAAGCAUUUCGGUGUGUAAACCCCUGUUGCCCGGGACGAACCGCUCGUUUCGACGAGUCUGACGGUACCGGGUGAGGAAGCACCGGCUAACUCCGUGCCAGCAGCCGCGGUAAUACGGAGGGUGCGAGCGUUGUCCGGAAUCACUGGGCGUAAAGGGCGCGUAGGCGGUCUGCUAAGCGUGUGGUGAAAGCUCGGGGCUCAACCCUGAGUCGGCCAUGCGAACUGGUGGACUGGAGCACUGUAGAGGCAGGUGGAAUUCCGGGUGUAGCGGUGGAAUGCGUAGAGAUCCGGAAGAACACCGGUGGCGAAGGCGGCCUGCUGGGCAGUAGCUGACGCUGAGGCGCGACAGCGUGGGGAGCAAACAGGAUUAGAUACCCUGGUAGUCCACGCCGUAAACGAUGGGGACUAGGUGCUUGGGGGAACGACCCCCCGAGUGCCGGCGCUAACGCAUUAAGUCCCCCGCCUGGGGAGUACGGCCGCAAGGCUGANCUCAAAGGAAUUUGACGGGGGCCCGCACAAGCGGNGGANCAUGU